CAGAUAACCCUGCAGUGGGAAGACUAGUCUCUUCCUCCUGAUCUUUGCAGAAGCUCUGGGAAGAGGAGGAUUUACCAACUGAGCCACAUUCUGCACACCUGAUUACCUCAGGAGUUUGGCAUCUGGGCACACUGACAGGUGUUACGAGGGAAAGGAAGAACCCCGGAGGGAAGAAGACGCGGAGGAUGAGGUCGCAGAGAUAGCCACGCCCAGCACGGCCAUGGCAGCGGGAUGUCACCUUUCCUCCCUCUCUGCAUUGAAAAGGGACGGUUCUAUUUCUAGGUAGAGCACUGGAUCUGAUGUUGAAACUUCUCAUUUGUAUCAAAAUCAGGGCCAUUAAGAAUUAUAA
rnacentral:lncRNA from 1 species